AGGAUGACACAUGAUAGGAGGAGCAGGUCAUGGAAGUUUGGCAAGCUAUCAAAUAAGACGAACUUGAAGAUUUUGGAAUAUCUUGUGAAUGAAGAAAAGUAGAAUCAGGGUUUUAGGAUUAGGAUUAAGUCAGUUGACUUUGGUCAACUAUCUGAUCAAAAAGUGAGCAGUUCACCAAAAGUUAAAUGUAAGUCAAAGAUGUAAUCUUGUAAUUGGAUUUUUGUAAUAUGGUUUGGAUGUUUUUGGUAAUGAAAAUAAUGACUUAUGUAAUGAAAAUGACCUUGAAUGGCAUAUGUGACUU
rnacentral:lncRNA from 1 species